GGGGAUAUGGCGGAAUUGGUAGACGCUGCGGACUUAAAAUCCGUUGACUUUUAAAAUCGUGAGGGUUCAAGUCCCUCUAUCCCCA
rnacentral:tRNA from 19 species